CCCCUAUAUAUUAUAGUGUUAAAUUAAAAAAAAAAUUGAUAGUGUCGAAAAACUAAAUAAAUUUGUUCAAGCCAUGUCAGAAAAAUAUUUUCUGACUUAAGAAAAUAAACCAUAGUUAACCCAUCUUCUUACCCCAUGCACUCCCAAUAAUGUUCCUGAUUUUACAACUUUAUGUGUGUUCCCUUCUCCUCGUAUAUUAUGAUGUUCCUUUGUUUUAAUUUUUGAUAGUGUUCCCUUCUCCUUAUUUCAUAUUGAUCCUAAUUUUUCAAUUUUAUCUUGUUCCCUUAUCAUUGUAGAGUAGGUUGGCUCUAAGUUUCAUGUGUAUGUGGAUACUCUUCCCCUUGCAGUUGAUAUUGUUCUUCAGUUACAUUUUAAUGUGUGUUACUGUUCCCUUGUAGUUGAUGUUGUUCCCUAGUUUUUAUUUUGAUGUGUGUUCCCAUCCUCUUGUAGUUUAUGAUUUAAAUGUGUUCUCAUUUUUAAUACUGUUCCUUUCUUCAUGGUGUUUAUUAUGUUCCUAUUUUUCAUUUGUAUGAUGAGUGUUCCCUCCCACUUUAAGUUUAUGAUGUUUCUAUGUUUUCAAUGUUAUGUGUGUUUUUUUUCCCUUGAUUAUGAUGUAUAAUUUUUCAUUUCUAUAUCUGUUCCCUUCUCCUUGUAGUUUAUGUUGGCCCUUUGUUUUCAUUUUGAUGUGUGUGUUCCCUCCCCAUGUAGUUUAUGAUGUUUCUAUGCUUUAAUUUUAUGUGUGUUCCUUUCCCCUUGCCUUUGAUCAUGUUCCUAUGUUUUUAUUAUGUAUGUUCCUUUCCCCAUGUAGUUUAUGAUGUUUCUAAGUUUAUGUGUGUGUUCCCUCUCCAUGUAGUUUAUAAUGUUUCUUUGUUUUAAUUUUUAUGUGUGUGUUCCCUCCCCAGGUAGUUUAUGAUGUUUCUAAGUUUUCAUGUUUAUGUGUGUAUCCUUCCCCUUGCAGUUUUUAAUGAUCUUAUGUUUAUAUGUGUGUUCUCAUCCCCAUGUUGUUUAUGAUGUUCCUAUUUUUUCAUUGUAAGAUGAGUAUUCUCUCCCCGGUGUAGUUAAUGAUGUUUAUGUAUUCCUGUUUAAGUUUGUAGUUUAAGUGGUUCCCUAGUUUCUUUUCCAUUACAGUUGAUGUUAUUCCUAUGUUUUCGUUUUUAUUUGUGUGUCAUACCAAAUUAGUUUAUGAUGUUUCUAUGCUUUCAUUUUUAUGUGUGUCCCCUUCCACUUGCCGCUGGUCAUGGUUCCAUGUAUUUUAUGAUGUUUUUAAAUUUUCAUGUUUAUGAAUGUGUUCCCUCCCCAGGUAGUUUAUGAUGUUUCUAUGUUUUCAUUUUUUGUGUGUUCCGUUCCACUUGUAGUCUGUUAUGAUCCCAUGUGUGUGUUCACUCCCCCGUGUUGUUUAUGAUAUUCAUAUGUUUUCACUGUAAGAUGAAUGUUUUCUCCCCCAUGUAGUUUAUGAUGUUUAUGUAUUCCGGUUUAAGUUUCAAGUUUAGGCAGUUCUCAAGUUUCCUUCUAUUACAGUUGAUGUUAUUCCUAUGUUUUUGUUUUUAUGUGUGUUCCCUUCCACUUGUAGUUGAUAAUGUUCCUGAUUUUACACUUUUAUGUGUGCUCCAUUUUCUUGUAGUUUAUGAUGUUCCUAUGUUUUCAUUUGUAUGAUUAAAAUUCCCUCCCCUUGUUGUUAAUGAUGUUCCUAUGUUUUCAUUUGUAUGAUGAGUAUUCCCUCCCCUUGUUGUAAAUGAUGUUUCUGUGUUUUCAUUUGUAUGACGAGUAUUCCCUCCCCUUAUAGUUAGGGAUGUUCCUAUGUUUUCAUUUGUGUGCUGAGUAUUCCUUCUCCUUGUAGUUAGGGAUGUUCCUAUGUUUUCAUUUGUAUGAUGAGUAUUCCCUUUCCUUGUUGUUAGGGAUGUUUCUUUGUUUUCAUUUGUAUGAUGAGUAUUCCCUCUCCUUGUUGUUAGGGAUGUUUCUUUGUUUUCAUUUGUAUGAUGAGUAUUCCCUCUCCUUGUUGUUAGGGAUGUUACUAUGUUUUCAUUUGUAUGCUGAGUAUUCUUUUUCCUUGUUGUAAAUUAUGUUCCUUUGUUUUUAUUUUUAUGAUGAGGAUUCCCUCCCCUUGUAGUUAGGGAUGUUGCUAUGUUUUCAUUUGUAUGAUGAAUAUUCCCUCUCCUUGUAGUUAGGGAUGUUCCUAUGUUUUCAUUUGUAUGCUGAGUAUUCUUUCGCCUUGUUGUAAAUUAUGUUCCUAUGUUUUUAUUUUUAUGAUGAGGAUUCCCUCCCCUUGUUGAUAAUGAUGUUUGUUUGAUGAGUAUUCCCUCCUCUUGUUGUUAAUGGUGUUCGUUUGAUGAGUAUUCCCUUCCCUUGUUGUUAAUGAUUUUCCUAUGUUUUCAUUUUUAUGAUGAGUAUCCCCUCUCCUUGUUGUUAGUGGUGUUGCUAUGUUUUCAUUGGUAUGAUGAGUAGUCCCUCCCCUUGUUGUUUAUGAUGCUCCUAUGUUUUCAUUUGUAUGAUGAGUAUUCCCUUCCCUUGUAGUUAGGGAUGUUCCUAUGUUUUCAUUUGUAUGAUGAGUAUUCUCUCUCCUUGUUGUUAGGGAUGUUCCUAUGUUUUUAUUUGUAUGACGAGUAUUCCCUCCCCUUGUAGUUAGGUAUGUUCCUAUGUUAUCAUUUGUAUGAUGCGUAUUC
rnacentral:lncRNA from 1 species